rnacentral:rRNA from 1 species
CAGUCGCCGCGGGAAUACGUAGGUGGCAAGCGUUGUCCGGAAUUAUUGGGCGUAAAGGGCUCGCAGGCGGUUUCUUAAGUCUGACGUGAAAGCCCCCGGCUCAACCGGGGAGGGUCAUUGGAAACUGGGAAACUUGAGUGCAGAAGAGGGGAGUGGAAUUCCACGUGUAGCGGUGAAAUGCGUAGAGAUGUGGAGGAACACCAGUGGCGAAGGCGACCCUCUGGUCUGUAACUGACGCUGAGGAGCGAAAGCGUGGGGAGCGAACAGGAUUAGAUACCCGUGUAGUCCCUGUCUCUUAUAC